rnacentral:rRNA from 1 species
UACAGAGACUGCAAGCGUUAUUCGGAUUUACUGGGCGUAAAGGGCGCGCAGGCGGCUGGGUGUGUCAGAUGUGAAAUCCCGAGGCUCAACCUCGGAACUGCGUCUGAAACUACUCGGCUAGAGUAUUGGAGAGGGUAACGGAAUUCACGGUGUAGCGGUGAAAUGCGUAGAUAUCGGGAGGAACACCAGAGGCGAAGGCGGUUACCUGGACAAUUACUGACGCUGAGGCGCGAAAGCGUGGGGAGCAAAAGGG